UACAGAGGUGGCAAGCGUUGUUCGGAAUUACUGGGCGUAAAGGGCGCGUAGGCGGCCUUCUAAGUCAGACGUGAAAUCCCCGGGCUUAACCUGGGAACUGCAUUUGUGACUGCAUAGCUAGAGUACGGUAGAGGGGGAUGGAAUUCCGCGUGUAGCAGUGAAAUGCGUAGAUAUGCGGAGGAACACCGAUGGCGAAGGCAAUCCCCUGGACCUGUACUGACGCUCAUGCACGAAAGCGUGGGGAGCAAACAGG
rnacentral:rRNA from 1 species